AAAUUUUCUUUCUUUCCUCAAGGUAUUUAUGUCCAUAGUAAAGUUCCUUCAAACUGUGGCAUUGUAACCAUCACACCAGCUAGCAAAGUCAAGACGUCGGAGAAAGGACACAGAUAGAUGGAGCUGGAGGACAAAAAGAGAGCACAGUACGAAAAGAUGACAUGGAGGUAAGUAAAAUAUUAUAAUAAUGUAGAGUACUCGUCCAAACGUUCAACCUUUACCAGUAAUGCCAAACAUACAAAAUCUCAAAAA